UUACGAAGUUUCCAUCAGUCACAUGUCCAAUGACCUUGACCUCAUUUUCAUGGUCCAGUGACUACUUGAAAAAAAUGUUACGAUUUUUUGUAAUGUUAAAUUCUCUCUUAUUAUAAGUAAUAGGAUAACUAUAUUUGGUAUGUGCGUACCUUGCACAUUCCUCAUGUCCGUCAGACAGUUUUCACUUGACCGCGACCACAUUUCAUGGAUCAAUGUACAAGGUUAAGUUUUGGUGGUCAAGUCUAUAUCUCAGAUGCUAUAAGCAAUAGGUCUAGUAUAUUCGGUAUAUGGAAGGACUGUGAGGUGUAUAUGUCCAACUGGCAUGUGUGUCAUCUGACCUUGACCCCAUUUUCAUGGUUCAGUGGUCAAAGUUAAGUUUUUGAGUUUUGGUCUUUUUUUCUAAUACUAUAUGUAAUAGGUCAACUAUAUUUGGUGUAUGGGAAUAUUUUCUGAUGUCAGUCCCGCAGGUUUUAUUUGACCUUGAACUCAUUUUCACGGUUCAUUGGUCAGUGUUAAGUUUUUUAUGUUUUUGUUUGUUUUUCUUAAACUGUAGGCAUGCAAUAGAUCAACUAUAUUUGUUGUAUAGAAGAAUUGUUUGCUGUUCAUGCCUGCCUGGUAUGGUUCAUCUGACCUUGACCUCAUUUUCAUGGUUCAUUGGUAAAUAUUUAGAUUUUUUGGUUAAUGUUAAGUUUAUGUGACAUUAAUAAUUAUGCUUAUGUAAUAGUUAUAUAUUAGGACUAUCAACAUAAAAUCAAUGAUUAGUAUAGAAGGCGAGACAUUUCAUCAUGUGCACUCUUGUUUGUUUAAGUUCUGUAACUUUGGUUUUCUUCGACAAAUUGUUAUGAAACUUGUACAUGAUGCUUUUUACCAUAAAAGUCAGAUCAAAUUGGAAUCUGGGUGGCGUCCCUGUAACAAUUCUCUAAGUUAUGUCCCUUUUACAGUUUUAAAGUUAUGUCCCUUUAUAAUGGUAUAUGCCAUAUGGGGUAUCAUCUGUGUCCCAUGGACAUGUUAUCCAUUUAUUUUAUAUACCACUACCAUCCUCAUUUAUUUUAUAUUGGUUGUAUGUACCUCUUACACUGGUCUGGAGAAUUCUUCAAUCUUUAUGGUGCUUAUAUUUUUACUUUUUCGUUAAAAUAGUACCAAAGGACACUUGUCCUUUUGCAAUAUUGUCCAAUC
rnacentral:lncRNA from 1 species